rnacentral:rRNA from 1 species
UGGGGAAUCUUGCGCAAUGCGCGAAAGCGUGACGCAGCAACGCCGCGUGGGGGAAGAAGGCCUUCGGGUUGUAAACCCCUUUCAGGAGGGACGAAGGUUUGGCGGCGAAUAGCCGACCAGACUGACGGUACCUCCACAAGAAGCCCCGGCUAACUACGUGCCAGCAGCCGCGGUAAUACGUAGGGGGCUAGCGUUGUCCGGAAUCAUUGGGCGUAAAGAGCGCGUAGGCGGCCCGGUAAGUCCGUUGUAAAAGUCAAAGGCUCAACCUUUGAAUGCCGAUGGAUACUGCCGGGCUAGAGUCCGGAAGAGGCGAGUGGAAUUCCUGGUGUAGCGGUGGAAUGCGCAGAUAUCAGGAGGAACACCGAUAGCGAAGGCAGCUCGCUGGGACGGUACUGACGCUAAGGCGCGAAAGCGUGGGGAGCGAACAG